AUCAGAUUCACAUGGAAUUUCUGUGCAAUUUAAAUGUUUAAAUAUGAAACUAUUUGUGAAAAGAUGAAAUGUAAUUUUAGCUUCCAAAUGAGAGAAUUGGGUUUUCAUAAGGUUAAAGCUCUGCUCCAUCAGUGGCCCGCCCCUGUGAAGAGACAUUGGUUAUAAACUAUGAAACACACCCUUCUCUCCCUCCACUAUAUAAGCCCUUUACGAAAAUAUAACUUUCUGUUCCGGGUACAUUAGGGCGACGGUCCGAUGUCAGAAGGAUUCAGAUAAUAAGCUGUUCCGAGGACGUGAGGACGACGGUCCCACAUUUAAAGGACUAACAUGUCAACUACAGAAUUAAGCCAUGAACUUUGAACUCUUAUUCACUACAGAAGUGAUACCUCCUACCCGUUGAGUUAGCAGCGGCCACUGUAAACGUGGGCUAGGAAAGGACGGACGACGGAUCCAGUCUAACACACAACGACGAUACUACAACGCAUCCAGUUUACCACCAGAGACAUUCUUCCGAGAACAGGAAGAUCUCUGUUGGGCAACACGGCCUUCCAUCUACAACCAACCUAUUGAGGCGCAGCUCAGAAAAUGGGACGUUUCUCUCCAGGAAGCAGAUUCACCAGGCCUAUGACAUCAUUCACCACCAACUAUUCCUGUCCGGAGUGACCUUAGGUAGGGUUUAGGAGAAAGUGACUGGUAGCUGGAUAAAUAAUAAUAAUAGUAAUAAUAAUCAACAACAUGGCAGCAGCAUAAGUGGUGUGUGGGUGUGUGAGUGUGUGGUGGUGAGCUUGUGUACAGUGUACAGUAUGUGAGUGUAAGUGUGUGGGUGUUAGUGUGAGUGUGUGAGUGUGAGUGUUAGUAUGAGUGUAUGAGUGGGUGAGUGUUUGUCAGUGUAGACUUGAUAGGCAGAUAUACUGUACAUGUAAACAGGGCUAUGUAAAAGGAAUAACCAGUCACCCGGCAUACUCUCUCUCUCUCUGUCUGACAUAACAUACCACAUUUUGUCAUGAAAGGAAUACCUGCAGCUCAAGUGGUUUCAACACACCAGCAGGGGGCACUCUUAGCUAUGGAAAUGC
rnacentral:lncRNA from 1 species